rnacentral:tRNA from 1 species
ACCUGAGUGGCUCAGUCGGUUGGGCGUCUGACUUUGGCUCAGAUCAUGAUCUCACAGUUUGUGAGUUCAAGCCCGCCUUGGGCU